UACGUAGGGCGCAAGCGUUGUCCGGAAUUAUUGGGCGUAAAGAGCUCGUAGGCGGCCUGUUACGUCUGCUGUGAAAUCCCGGGGCUUAACCCCGGGCGUGCAGUGGAUACGGGCAGGCUGGAGGCAGGCAGGGGAGAACGGAAUUCCCGGUGUAGCGGUGAAAUGCGCAGAUAUCGGGAGGAACACCGGUGGCGAAGGCGGUUCUCUGGGCAUUAACUGACGCUGAGGAGCGAAAGCAUGGGGAGCGAACAGG
rnacentral:rRNA from 1 species